AAUGAAGUGAGAGUAUUUUGGACAAUAAGCUGGAAAACCUAGUGAAGAGAGCUUAAGUAAGGAGAAACACGAGAGAUAAAUGAUCUUUCUGGCAGUGGCAAUGUCUUCAUCAAAUACCUCAUUGCUCAAUAGGGAAAUCUGAUGCUUAACACAGAACAAAGAACAAGCUGGU